GGAGGAAUGGCCGAGUGGAUGAAGGCGCUGGUCUUGAAAACCAGAAAAGGAUCUAGUCCUUUCGUGAGUUCGAAUCUCACUUCCUCCG
rfam:Glossina fuscipes fuscipes, whole genome shotgun sequence.